CCUACGGGAGGCAGCAGUGGGGAAUAUUGCACAAUGGGGGAAACCCUGAUGCAGCGACGCCGCGUGAGUGAAGAAGUCCUUCGGUAUUUAAAGCUCUAUUAGUAGGGAAGAAAAUGACGGUACCUGAUUAAGAAGCCCCGGCUAACUACGUGCCAGCAGCCGCGGUACUACGUAGGGGGCGGGCGUUAUCCGGAUUUACUGGGUGUAAAGGGAGCGUAGACGGCAGCACAAGUCUGGAGUGAAAUGCCGGGGCUUAACCCCGGACCUGCAUUGGGAACUGUGCAGCUAGAGUGCAGGGGAGGUAGGCGGAAUUCGUAGUGUAGCGGUGAAAUGCGUAGAUAUUAGGAGGAACCCCAGUGGCGAAGGCAGCUUACUGGACUGGAACUGACGUUGAGGCUCGAAAGCGUGGGGAGCGAACAGGAUUAGAUACCCCUGUAGUC
rnacentral:rRNA from 1 species